GAUUCGAGCUAGAGGCUUCUUGGUUCAUGUUUUGUGCGUUAUGGCCAUGGGGUGAGUUCCCAAUUGCCCUCUUGUUGGAGGAGUUGGCAGUCAGAGAUAUCGACGCUGAUUGUUGCUGCAUUUGCUGCUGAUUCUUCAUUGGUGAUUUGGGCCGAAGCGCCUCUAUAUCAGGAGUUGUAACAACAAGAUGUGGUGCUUCUGGAGGUGGAUUUCUUCCUCCCCCGCCCUGCCAAACUUUCCCAUCCUUAUCAGCAAAAUUCCUUAUGUAGGCCUGAAAUAUUUCCAAAUUGUACAGUGAGUAUAAGAAACAUAUAAUGUAGCAGCAACUCGGUAUAAAGCAUAACCCCCUCUAAAAUAUCCAAAUGCCUGCAACUUAAGUUGACUGAACAAUCUGAAGGAAGCAAGUCAGAGCUAAAAUAUAUGAUUGUCACCAUAAGUGAUUAGCCAAUAUAUGACCAAAAUCUCUUCCUAAAGGAGAGAGCAAAGGUUUGAAGCAU
rnacentral:lncRNA from 1 species